AUCUGUUGUUGCCCACUGACUUUGAGCCACUGGACUCGGAGGAGCCCAGUGAGGCCAUGGGUCUAGGUGCCGGCCUAGCCCCGGGCUCAGGCUUCCCCAGUGAGGACAGCGAGGAGUCCCGGCUCCUGCAGCCACCACAGUACUUCUGGGAAGAGGAGGAACUAAACGGCUCCAGCCUGGACCUGGGUCCCACUGCAGGACCGGACAGAUAGUUCAGUGGUUUAGAGCACUGGCCGCUCUUCAAAAGGACCCAGGUUUGAUUGCCCGCACUCCUAUGGUGGCUCACAACCAAUCAUCUAUAAUUCCCAGUUCCAGAGGAUCCAACAGGCAUGAAAGUGAUGCAAAUGUAUGCAGGUGAACAUUCAUGCACACACAGUGAAAACAAAUAAAAUGUAGUUUUC
rnacentral:lncRNA from 1 species